rnacentral:rRNA from 1 species
UACGUAGGGUGCAAGCGUUAAUCGGAAUUACUGGGCGUAAAGCGUGCGUAGGCGGUUCGUUGUGUCUGUGGUGAAAGCCCCGGGCUUAACCUGGGAAUGGCCAUGGAAACUGGCGAGCUGGAGUGUGGCAGAGGGGGGUGGAAUUCCGCGUGUAGCAGUGAAAUGCGUAGAGAUGCGGAGGAACACCGAUGGCGAAGGCAGCCCCCUGGGCUAACACUGACGCUGAGGCACGAAAGCGUGGGGAGCAAACAGG